GACGGAGGGUGCAAGCGUUGUUCGGAAUUACUGGGCGUAAAGGGCGCGUAGGCGGUCUGUUAAGUUCGGUGUGAAAGCCCCCGGCUCACCUGGGGAACUGCGCCGGAAACCGACAGACUCGAGUACCGGAGAGGAGGGUGGAAUUCCUGGUGUAGCGGUGAAAUGCGUAGAUAUGACAUAGAACACCAAUUGCGAAGGCAGCUGGCUACGCGAAUAUUGACACUGAUGCACGAAAGCGUGGGGAUCAAACAGG
rnacentral:rRNA from 1 species